rnacentral:misc_RNA from 1 species
GAAUUUUAAAGUUUGGGUCAAUUGGUACAAAAUUGAGACGUGAGGAUAAAAUUGUCAAUAAGUGCAAAAGUUUGGAUUUUUUUGGCCCAUUUAGCCCGAAAUUUCUUACCACCCUCGCACUAGUACCACCCAUAUAUCCCACCAACAACCUCUGCAACUUAAAUUUAUGACGUCAGUGUCACAAUUCAUGCUACCAUGUUAUGCUAACCCAAUGCUGUUAUGUUGUGCUAAGCCCAUGCUAUUGUACCAUGCUGGUAUAAUUGUCAAGUUAGAUACAGCACUAGGUAUUGUGGUUUGCAAGUGCCUCAAGCAGCUCCACCUUAUCUCUAGCCGUGGGUAACCCUUUGCUCGCAAAUCCACCAACUCCAAGAUGGCUCUUAUACCCAUUGUAACGCAUUUGAUCCAACUAGCCCAAACAACUUUCAGGUCCAAACCACUUAGCCCAAAAUGAUUAACCCAAAUAAUUUUAUUACUUGGGGACUAGGGUAUAUAAACACUUUAACAACCCCAUUCCUCACCAAUGUGGAACAGUGCAUUAUGCCAUAACAAAAACAUUCCAAAUGGUUUAAGUGUCUAGCAAUCUGACUUUGGGAACACACAAGGAGAAACCUAAUUGGCUUGCUUAUAGAUGACCAAUACAAAUGAGAGAGAGAGAGAGAGAGA